rnacentral:misc_RNA from 1 species
GAAAUGCGAUAGUAAUGUGAAUUGCAGAAUUCAGUGAAUCAUCGAAUCUUUGAACGCACAUUGCGCCCGCCAGUAUUCUGGCGGGCAUGCCUGUCCGAGCGUCAUUUCAACCAUCAAGCCCCCGGGCUUGUGUUGGGGACCUGCGGCUGCCCGCAGGCCCUGAAAACCAGUGGCGGGCUCGCUGUCACACCGAGCGUAGUAGCAAUCACCUCGCUCAGGGCGUGCUGCGGGUUCCGGCCGUUAAACAGCCUUACAAAACCCAAGGUUGACCUCGGAUCAGGUAGGAAGACCCGCUGAACUUAAGC